UUCUUUCUCUCCAAACUCUCUUAUCCUUGAAACAACUCAACCUUGGCCGAAUUUUGGUGUCAUUUUCUUUUCUCUUUAUGCUUGGUUUUUGAGUGGAACUUGUCACCAACAAGCUUAGAGAUCCAUACCGAGCUGUAGUUCGCGGGACUUGGUGAACCCAACUCUGUAGCUCGGAGCCAAGAGAAGAUCAAGUUUAGGACUGGGGGGUGUUAGAGAGUCGUAUUGUCUGCGUUAUCAGUAUCUUGUUAUUACCUUUUUGUGAGUGUAAGACUUGUAUUCUGACUGUAUUUGUAAUUUGUGAGCUGUUGGGUUGUAUUUGUAUUCUGUAGGGCUGCUAAAGUCCGUACUUGUAGUAUUUUAAAUUUCCAGUAUCCUAUUUGUGCUUUUGGGUUCUGUUCA